GAUUGUUGUACAAACCAUGGGGGAUAGUCGAUCAGGUUUACAUCCCUAUAAACUUCGACUGUGCACAUUGGGUGGCCGGAGUUAUAGAUUUUCGUGAGUGAUCGAUUACAGUAUACGAUUCGGAUGUAUCAUAUUC